rnacentral:rRNA from 1 species
UGUGCCAGCAGCCGCGGUAAUACGAAGGGGGCUAGCGUUGCUCGGAAUCACUGGGCGUAAAGGGUGCGUAGGCGGGUUUCUAAGUCAGAGGUGAAAGCCUGGAGCUCAACUCCAGAACUGCCUUUGAUACUGGAAGUCUUGAGUAUGGCAGAGGUGAGUGGAACUGCGAGUGUAGAGGUGAAAUUCGUAGAUAUUCGCAAGAACACCAGUGGCGAAGGCGGCUCACUGGGCCAUUACUGACGCUGAGGCACGAAAGCGUGGGGAGCAAACAGGAUUAGAAACCCCGGUAGUCC